UACUGGAAGUCCUAGCCAGAGAAAUUAGCCAAGAAAAAUAAAAGGCAUCCAAAUUAUAAAGGAAGAAUUAAAACUAUCUCUACAGAUGACAUGAUUCUAUAUAUAGAAAAUCCUAAAAUAUCCACAGAAAAAUCUAGAGCAAUAAAUUAAGUAAAAUUACAGGACAUAGGACCAGCACACAAAAAUUAGUUAUAAUUAAUAAUCCAAAAAUGAACUUUAAAAAUCCUAUUUAUAAUAGCAUCCAAAACAAUAACAUACAUAGGAAUAAAUUUAACCUCUAAAUAGAGGGAAAGAUUUGUAUACUGAAAACUAUAAAACAUUGCGAACAAUAUUAAAACCACAAUUAAAUGGAAAGACAUUCCAGUUUUGAUUGGAAAACGCAAUAGUGUCAUAUUAGUGUACUAGGUUUGCCAUAACAAAAUACUGCAGAUUGGAUGGCUUAAACAACAGAAAGUUAUUUCUCAUAGUUCUGGAAACUGGGUAAUCAAGAUCAAGGUGUCGGCAGAUGAGAGGCUUUCUCCUUGACCUGCAGAUGGCCAUUUUCUUGCUGUGCCCUCACAUGGCCUUUUCUCUGCAUGUGCAUAUUCCUGGUAUUUCUUCCUCUUCAUAAAGAACACAGCUCCUACUAAGAGUCCCAUUCUUAAGGCAUCAUUUAACCUUAAUUGACUCCUUUAGAAUGCUAUCUCUAAAUAUAUUCACACUGUGCGUCAGGGCUUCAACAUAAGAGUUGUUGGGACACAAUUCAGUCCAUAACAACUGGUAAGAUGGCAGUAGUCUGAAAAGCAAUCUAUAGAUUCAAUGCAAUCUCCAUCAGAAUUCUAAUAGUCCUUUUUUUUUUUUUACUUUUGCAGAUUGCAAAACCCGACCCUCAAAUUCAUAUGAAAUUUCAAGGGGCCCAAAUAAUCAAAACAACAUUGAAAAAGGAAAACAAAGUUUGAAGACUCAAACACCCCAAUUUGAUCCAUGAGGACACAGGUUUGAUCCCUGGCCUUGCUCAGUGGGUUAGGGAUCUGGCGUUGCCAUGAGCUGUGUUGUAGGUCACAGACAUGGCUCAGAUCUGGCCUUGCUGUGGUGUAGGCCACUGGCUACAGCUGAUUCAACCCAUAGCCAGGGGACUUCCAUAUGCCACGGGUAUGGCAAAAAACCCCCAAACAGCUAAGUAAGUGAAGAGACAUAUUGUGCUUAUGGAUUGGUAAAAAUUUCAAUUUUUUCCCAAAUGAUAUAAAAGUAUGUAAUGCAAUUCUAUCAAAAUCUAAGCAGGACUUUUGAAAAAACAGGCUGACUCAAAGUUAUAUGUAAA
rnacentral:lncRNA from 1 species